rnacentral:lncRNA from 1 species
AUGGAAAGUUAUAUGUGUGGUAAUAUUGAAAAGGAAAAUAUCAAUGUAAAAAAUCAAAAUGUUCAGAAACGUGUUAUAUAUGAUGUAAAAAAUAUUCCGAAUAGUUGGUUUGAAGAUAAAAAUGUGAUUAAUAGUAUAAAUUCAUGUAUUAGAGAUAUAGAAAAAAGUAAUGGUGAUCAAGAUGAUGUAGAUAAUAUAUAAUUGUGAAUUUGUUAAUAUAAUGCAUAAUGAGAUGAAUUCGAAACUAAAUACAAAAACAAAACUUUUGAAUAGUUGUUACAAUAAAAGAAGACGUUUCAAGAAACCGUGGUGGUCCAAUGACUUGACUUCAAAGUGGAAUGAGACAUGUUCGGCCGAGAACCAGUAUCUGCGUUGUACGAACAAUAGCAAUAAAUCUGCAUUAAGAACUCUGUAUUUGAACA